GUCAGGAUGGUGUAGUUGGUUAUCACGUGUGCCUCACAAUCAGGAAUCCCCACCUGAUGAGAACGCACAAGGUCCCGAGUUCGAACCUCGGUCUUGACA